rnacentral:rRNA from 1 species
AUUGAACGCUGGCGGCAGGCCUAACACAUGCAAGUCGAACGAGUGGCGGACGGGUGAGAAAUGUCGGGGAAACUGCCUGAUGGAGGGGGAAAACUACUGGAAACGGUAGCUAAUACCGCAUACCAUCAGCUGUUCCCAGAUGGGAUUAGCUAGUAGGUGGGGUAAUGGCUCACCUAGGCGACGAUCCCUAGCUGGUCUGAGAGGAUGACCGGCCACACUGGAACUGGGACACGUGCAAGAUUCCUAGGGGGGGCGGCAGUGGGGAAUAUUGCACAAUGGGCGCAAGCCUGAUGCAGCCAGGCGGGGUGUAUGAAGAGGGCCUUCGGGGUGAAAAGUACGUUAAGCGGGGAGGCGUUACCCUCAGAAGAAGCACCGGCUAACUCCGUGCCAGCGCCGCGGUAAUAC